rnacentral:rRNA from 1 species
AGUGGCGAACGGGUGAGUAACGCGUGAGUAUCUGCCCUUAGGAGGGGGACAACAGUUGGAAACGACUGCUAAUACCCCAUAUGUCUACGGAUGAAAGAUUUUAUCGCCUGAGGAUGAGUUCGCGUCUGAUUAGCUAGUUGGUGAGGUAAAGGCUCACCAAGGCGACGAUCAGUAGCUGGUCUGAGAGGAUGAUCAGCCACACUGGGACUGAGACACGGCCCAGACUCCUACGGGAGGCAGCAGUGGGGAAUUUUCCGCAAUGGGGGCAACCCUGACGGAGCAAUACCGCGUGCGGGAGGACGGCCUGUGGGUUGUAAACCGCUUUUCUCAGGGAAGAAGACCUGACGGUACCUGAGGAAUCAGCAUCGGCUAACUCCGUGCCAGCAGCCGCGGUAAUACGGAGGAUGCAAGCGUUAUCCGGAAUUAUUGGGCGUAAAGCGUCCGUAGGUGGUUAAUCAAGUCUGCUGUUAAAGAGCGGAGCUCAACUCCGUUUAAGCGGUGGAAACUGGUUGACUAGAGAGUGGUAGGGGUAGAGGGAAUUCCCAGUGUAGCGGUGAAAUGCGUAGAUAUUGAAGAACACCGGUGGCGAAAGCGCUCUACUGGGCCACAUCUGACACUGAUGGACGAAAGCUAGGGGAGCGAAAGGGAUUAGAUACCCC